rnacentral:lncRNA from 1 species
UUUUGAAACUUUAUUUUGCAUCACUGCUUUCUCAAAUUAUCCUUAUAGAAGCUUAAAUUACAUGAGGUGACAUUUGAGCCAAAACCAGAGAAGCAGACAUCAACCCAAGACUGUGAGGAGAGUUCCUUCAGUAUGAAGGUCAGUGGAGCUGGUGAAUUAAAAGAAAAAAGAAGAAUGUGAUCUUUUAAAAACAGCAUUUUUGCAGAUGAUCAAAUCAAGAUGGAACAUUUGAGGUAGGAAGUAAUGUAACAUGACUGAUGUCCUUGUUAAACCGACUGAGCACAGAGGCCAUCGUUGUGACAGAACUGGCCUAUGUAGCAAGAAUGUGAACACUGGAAUUAGUUAGUUCCAACAUGCAACUACAUGUCCCUAAGGAAAGAAGAUGGCAGCUCCUUUCUCCACGGUGCCUCCUGGAAGAGGAUGUUUGGCUGAUGUAGUUAUUUUGAACUUCCUGCCUGCAGAAUCUUGAGACAAUAAAUUUCUUGUGUUUUG